rnacentral:rRNA from 1 species
AACGAACGCUGGCGGCAGGCCUAACACAUGCAAGUCGAGCGCCCUUUCGGGGGAGCGGCGGGCGGGUGAGUAACGCGUGGGAAUAUGCCCUUCUCUACGGAAUAGCCUCGGGAAACUGAGAGUAAUACCGUAUACGCCCUGUGGGGGAAAGGUUUAUCGGGGAAGGAUUAGCCCGCGUUGGAUUAGGUAGUUGGUAGGGUAAUGGCCUACCAAGCCGACGAUCCAUAGCUGGUUUGAGAGGAUGAUCAGCCACACUGGGACUGAGACACGGCCCAGACUCCGACGGGAGGCAGCAGUGGGGAAUCUUAGGCGAUGGGGGCAACCCUGAUCUAGCCAUGCCGCGUGAGUGAUGAAGGCCUUAGGGUUGUAAAGCUCUUUCAGCUGGGAAGAUAAUGACGGUACCAGCAGAAGAAGCCCCGGCUAACUCCGUG